AGCAGCCGCGGUAAUUCCAGCUCCAAUAGCGUAUAUUAAAGUUGUUGCAGUUAAAAGCUCGUAGUUGAAUUUCGGGGUUAGUAGGUUGGUCAUGCCUCUGGUAUGUACUGGUCUCACUGAUUCCUCCUUCUUUAUGAACCGUAAUGCCAUUAAUUUGGUGUUGCGGGGAAUUUGGACUGUUACUUUGAAAAAUUGAGUGUUUAAAGCAAGCUAACGCUUGAAUACAUUAGCAUGGAAUAAUGAAAUAGGACGUUCGAUCUUAUUUUGUUGGUUUCUAGGAUUGACGUAAUGAUUAAUAGGGAUAGUUGGGGCAUUAGUAUUCAAUUGUCAGAGUGAAAUUCUUGGAUUUAUGAAGACUAACUAUGCGAAAGCAUUUUUGCCAAGGAUGUUUUCAUUAAUCAAGAACGAAAGUUA
rnacentral:rRNA from 1 species